GAGGGUAUAGCUCAGUGGUAGAGUGCAUGCUUAGCAUGCAGGAGGUCCUGGUUCAAUCACCAGUACCUCA
rnacentral:tRNA from 1 species